rnacentral:lncRNA from 7 species
AGGCUUGGACUCCUAAUUGCAAACUCAUUAAGGAGUUUGCAUCUCAUUUACAUGGAAAUCAUUUCCUGGGCCCUCAACAGAGAACUGUCCUCUCUAUCCAUCAGGCAUACUGUGCCCAGUUCGACCCAUCUACAGAGUGGGACAGAAGGGGGCCUGUCUUUCGGCCAGUGCCCCCCUCCCCAGUCUACCCACUGGGAGUCCCGGAAAGGGGGGCGGUUGGCAGAGCACCCACCAGCAAGGAACCCUGCCUGCGCCCCAGGUCCUUUUGGAAGUCCUCAAGUGCUGGCUCUGCAGAAGGACUUGCCCUGGCCAGACAGUGGGAAUUCAGUGACCUGGUCAUACUCAGGAGGAAAUUGAAACCUGUGAGGAUAGCUUGCUCUCCCAGACUGUAUUAGAGCUGGUUUCUGUCCUGGUCCUUCAUGUAUGUAGUUAAGAGAGGGCUUCCAGCGUGUUCCAUGUGAGGAGCUGGGGUAUCCAACUGUUUAAUGUUUAAAAUGAAAUAGAACCGUCUAAAGCCC